UUAUUAUAGAAAAUAGCCUAUGCCGAGCAGCUUCCUCGUUAUCUCGUUCCUCGGUUCACUCUCCCGUCGCUCUCCGGUUCCUCGUGCACUCUCCAAUCUUCUCUCCGCCGAAUCGAGUCGACCCUGCGUCGGCGCGGCAGUAGUGGUGUGUAGGUUCUAGGUCCCCUGCGCCAUGAGCGGCGGAAGCGAAGGCGUGGUACAGUGGCGUCCCAUCCCCAUCCCCAUCCCCCUCCCCCUCCCACCUCCUUCCGCCGUUAUUACAAGUGAGGGUGGCUCCGGAGGGGCAUCGUUGCCUUCCUUCUCCCUCGCAUCCCUCACAGCAGGCGGAGGCGGAGGCGGAGGCGGAGGCGGAGGCGUGGGGGAGAAGGAGUCGGAGGUGGCGCCGCUGCCGCCACCGCCGCCGCCGCUUCCGUCGCCGCAGCAGUUGCUGAGGCAUCCGCUGGCGCUGCUGGCGCUGGUCCCCAACAGCGUGGCCCUCUUCUCAGCAGGGGCCAUCUCCGGCGCCGCCGCCAAAACCCUCACGGCCCCGCUCGACCGCGUCAAGCUUCUCAUGCAGACCCACAGUUUGCGAGCGGCCCAAGGCGGUGGGAAGAAGGGAUUUGGUUUUGUUGAGGCUAUUACAAUGAUUGGGAAGGACGAGGGUAUCAAGGGUUACUGGAAAGGCAAUCUUCCCCAGGUCAUUCGCAUUAUUCCGUAUAGUGCUGUUCAGCUUUUCUCAUAUGAAGUUUACAAGAAACUUUUUAGGAAGAAGGAUGGAGAACUAUCUGUUCUUGGGAGACUUGUUGCAGGUGCUUGUGCUGGAAUGACUUCCACACUUGUAACAUAUCCGUUGGAUGUCCUGCGGCUAAGGCUUGCAGUUGAACCUGGAAGCAGGACAAUGUCUCAGGUCGCCCUAAACAUGUUAAGAGAAGAAGGUUUGGCAUCUUUCUAUGGUGGUCUUGGUCCAUCUCUUAUUGGGAUAGCACCUUAUAUUGCUGUGAACUUCUGCAUGUUUGACUUGGUGAAGAAAUCUCUACCAGAGAGAUAUCAGAGGAGACCAGAGACAUCUCUUGCGACUGCUCUUGUGUCAGCGACACUUGCUACACUAAUGUGCUAUCCUCUGGACACUGUAAGAAGACAGAUGCAAAUGAAAGGCUCACCGUACAAUACUAUUCUUGAUGCUUUUCCAGGUAAAUUGCCGAUCUUUCCACAUGAGUGCUGUGGGAGCCCCAAGGCCACGUUAGCCCAAGUAUUGUGGAGCGUGAUGGAUUAAUCGGGUUGUAUAGAGGUUUUGUGCCCAAUGCACUGAAAACGCUGCCAAAUAGCAGCAUUAAGCUGACGGCAUUUGACACUGUGAAGGGCCUCAUAUCGGCCGGACAGAAGGAGCUUGAGAAAAUCACACAGGAAAACCAGGAGAAAGUAGUUAGUUAGACCUGUGGACGCUGCCCCUUUCCCUUUAUUCCCCCUUUUUUUUUUCUAUCUUGCUUAUGCAAUUUUGGGAGUUUGAUUGUUGCAAUUAGUGUUUUCUCUCUAGUGCUGAGACUUGCAAGCAUAGCAAGGGCAUUUAUUGAGGGCAACUGUUUUGUUUUGUCCUAGAAUAGCAACAACUCUUGCUGGUAUUCUGCUGGCUGAUUGGAAACAUAAUUACUGUCUCUUACACGUCGCACAAAAUUUGUAGAUGCUGCAGAUACAGAUUUAAGAAAAAUAUGUUGCAUAGGAUACUUCUGAAUAUGUGAUGGUCAAUCAAGCUUAAUCGA